GACCAGACUCCACUACUCUAGAGAGAGAGAGAGAGAGAGACGGGGUUUCACUGUUUCAGUGGUGGGGAGUGGGGACUGGAGAAGAAAUCCACCAUCAAUUGCAGAGUUGUUCCCUUUCUUUGCUUCUUUUCGUGGAUUUUUGCUUCAAUCGGUUGAAGUCGCGAGCUUAGAAUCAGAAUCCGCGAAUUCGCCCUGCUCUCGAUUUCAGUUCGUGAAUCCACAUUCUUCGCUGGGGAGAAAGCUUUGCUUCAUAUGGGGUUGUCUUUUUAAGCUGCCAACUAGGUGUAAAGCACAUUUUCUCUAAUUUUGGAUUGCAUUGGGCUGAUCUCUUUCGUGUUGUUUUCAUUGCGAGACUGGCGAGUAUAUCGACUGCUUUUGGGGAUCUUCUAUUGGUUUUCCAUGGCGCUGGCUUCCUCAAAUCAUUCAUCCGGUGAACCCAACAAAGAUUGUCAUGACAACGAUUUCAUGAUGUGAAGAGUCGUUAUUUGACAGCUUGAAUGAUGGACCAGAUAAGGUAUCUGAGUUGAACAGAGAAUGGCAGAGGAGGCACGACCAAUUUCAUACGGUAGCCUUAUGAAUACAAGUGCACUGGCAUGUCUUCAUGAUGAUCAGAAAGGAAACUUGGUUGAAACAAUAGAGAACAGAGAGAAGCUUCAGAGUUUGUAUGGAACAGUGGUCUCUUUCAUCAAGUGAUGCAAGUAGUAUAUUUCAUAAUGACAUCAUAUACAGAAGUUCCAAAGAACAUGGUAUUCAUUUGUUGGGAAACUUCAAUUCAUCUGACUUUCCAAAUGAAAGUAAAUGCAACAGUCAAUUAGGAAGACACUCAGGCAACUUGAGUCCUUUCUUCUUGAAUGACCUGCAAUCAAGGUGCACUGGACAGUGGACAAGAAGACAGUUGAGCUUUUUUAGGGAUUUUUUUUUUCUUUCUGAAAUAUAUCAACACUUCCUAGAAAUAUAUAUAUAAUCAGGAAUUCUAUCAUAUUCUUGGCUAAUGUUAGAAUCCACUUACAUUUAAGAAAAUGUGACAGAGAAAAUAUAGUGAUGAACUUUAUGCAUUUGUAAUUCACAGAAAUUAGUGUAUAAAACAAUAUUGCUUUACACUUUUAUGUAUGAUAUGCAUAACUAUAGCUUUUUAAGCCA